AAAAAAAAAAAAAAAAAAAAAAAAAAAAAAAANAAAAACAAAAACAAAAAAAACGAAACAAUGUUGACGAUUUUCUCAAGAGAGGAAAAACGCGAGAAACGUCGAAAAAAGAAGAUAAAGUCAUUUUCAAGUUGUUUCAGCAAAAGUCUCUGUUAACAUUGCGACAAGGACAAAAGUUAUUGGCCAAAAAGGGAGUGAGAACAUCUCUUGGCACAGUACAAUGUUGAAAUCUUUCCUCAAACCUCAGCAUCGAAAAGCGACGCUUAUUGGCUAUGCAAAAUUUGAAUCAUGAUUAGAGUAAUGUGAUAUUUACUGAAUCGCAUUUUUGCACAUGAAAAUUUGCACUCCUGCCAAAUACACAUGAUCUCUUCCGGGAAAAUCACCUUUGCAGCGCACCUUUAAACAUCUAGUUAAGGUCCAUGUUUGAGGGCUUCACGAUUUUGGUACUUUAUACUUGUUUACUCACAAUUGAAAUGCUGAAAAGAUGCUCAAGCUCUAUCGACGUGCAUUGUAGACAUUAAAGUCUGCUGAAAAGUGGUUUGGAUCGGAUAAUGAAUCGUGGAUACUGCAAGAGGACAAUGACCCGAAACACCGCAGCCGUUUGUGCACUGUAUAGAAAGCCGAAAAUAAUAUUCAGACAUUGAAUUGGCCUGCGCAGUCGCCUGAUGCAAAUCCAAUUGAAAAUGUGCGGUCCAUUAUUAAGAGAAAGCUUCAAGGAAAGCGUGUGUUCACUUUAAAGCAGUUGUGUCAUUAUGUACGAUUUAUUUGGCGAUCGUUAUCGCAAUAAUAUGCCAAAACAAUGUAAGCAAAUUCUCGACCAAGAUAUAAUUCUCUUAGUCAGUAAUGGAGACUGGACGACUUACUAAAUAUGCAGACGACGCUCUUGUUUCACUGUAAAUCAAUAAGGGUUUUUUUAUUGUUUUUACUUCUUUAAGCAGAAGAAAAAUGAUUUUGAUUGAUUCUUUUGUUACACUCUGCAGUAAACAAAUCAGUUGAGGCGAAUGUAUAUACAUACAAGCUACUGAAGAUAUGUAAUAAUAACAAUAUACGUAUGGUUUGAAACUUUUA